rnacentral:rRNA from 1 species
CAGCAGCCGCCACGGUAAUACGUAGGGUCCGAGCGUUGUCCGGAAUUAUUGGGCGUAAAGGGCUCGUAGGCGGUUUGUCGCGUCGGGAGUGAAAACCAGCAGCUUAACUGCUGGCCUGCUUUCGAUACGGGCAGACUUGAGGCAUUCAGGGGAGAACGGAAUUCCUGGUGUAGCGGUGAAAUGCGCAGAUAUCAGGAGGAACACCGGUGGCGAAGGCGGUUCUCUGGGAAUGUUCUGACGCUGAGGAGCGAAAGUGUGGGGAGCGAACAGGAUUAGAGACCCCGGUAGUCCCUGUCUCUUAUAC